UCAUAUUAACAUCAUCAUCAAGGAUCUUCAAGUCCUGAUGUAAUUGUAUGAUGAGGAUCAAGGAACUUCUGGUCCUGAUCUGCAUACUGUAAAAACUCAUCAUAUAGCACAUUUAAUCCAUAUAAUAAAUUGCUGGUAAAUAAAUUACUGGUAUGGACGAUAAACCCGCACCAUACAUUUAAAUAAAAGUAAAGGCGUGGACGAUAAACCCACACCACC
rnacentral:lncRNA from 1 species